GUAAAGGGAAUGACACAUACCCCUUGCCUCUGGUGACAUGUGGUGUGGAGUAGCUGGUGUUAUCCAUUAUCCGUCCUUUUGGAAUAUCAGCAUGUUGGAGCUACAAACCAGAGGAACGAAUGUCGGUCUGAUUGUGCUUUCUGUGAUCACAGUCAGCAGCCUGUGUGAUGUAGCCUUUGCCCUCCUGAUAAUCCAUCAAGGAGAACACCAGCACUGUCUUUAUGAUGCAUAAAAAUGUGAAAUAAAAGCUCACUGUGCCCCUUAGGCUGGCCUGUGUUCAGUGAGAUUUGAGGCUACAUUUUCAGAAGGGGUGAUGUGCUCCAUGCAACAUCAUUGUCUUGGGUAGACAGUACUACAGCUUCUUUGGCAAAGAUAAAAAUACCUGAAUUUCUCUGGUAACCAGACCACCAUCUUGCCUUUCAACACCAGCAGAAGCAGAUGUGGGGCUGACUGCACAAUGAACAAAAAGAAUACUUUGAAAAGAAAAUGACAGCAAAAAUAUAAGCUCAGUUUGUAGCUUAUCCAUGA